GGGAGUUUCAGAUUCGGCGCCACACCGUAAGCCCCUUGAGGUUGGAGUGAUUUAUAUUCCUUGUUCUUUGCAGAUUUGCCGUGUUUCUCUUUGGCCUCCCUCGGUCCUGUACAACCCCGCCCCUCCUCCCUGCGUGGGGCUCAGCACUUGAGCAAGGAAGCAGGGCAAGUGCACGAGGUCUCCCCAGGAACGCGUUGGUCUCGGGCCGGGAGGGCGGCAUCUGCCGUCUCUGGCGAGUGUGUGUGCGUGUGUGGUGCUUGGGCUUGAACCCAGUGCUAGGCAGGCGCUCUCGCACGGGGCCCCACCCCUGCGCCACUUCGGGUGCUGUCAGCCUUGUCCUUUCAAGUCUUACCCAGGUCUGUUCCUUCUGCUCAGAUCUUGGAUUCCGGAUCUUGGAUUCCUCCAAGUGCGAACGUGGUGACUCGGAGUUAGUGAAACUGUGACUCAGCCUACCUGACAGCCGGGCUGUGAAGCUGAUCAGGAGGUGGCAGAGGUGUCUCUGCUCCACCCUGAGGGGGCGGCAGGAGCCCUCCUGGUGGCCAGAUAGGGAGGGCCCCCUCAUUGUUUCCUAGAACCAGACGGAUCAGCGUGUAACUCUGUGAUUCAGCUUCAGCUUGUAAAAAGGAAGUGAGCAAUUCGCAUCUUCUUUUCUAGGGGUGAUAUAUUGGGUAUCAGUAAACAUGUUCACAGCUUGGACUUUUACCCCGCGGCUGGUGAAGUGGCGGAGCCUGAUGGUCACCGAAGCUCUGUAUUGACUGUGUCACGCCCCUGCCUGUCCCCAAGUCUCCAGUCUGUGAAAGAGUUUCGCGUUGCCUGUCACGGAAAUACCUCAGACUUGGACUCGAUCGAGCAGUGUACGAAAUGCCUCUGGAAACCAGACGCGUCUCUGCCGCGUGCGCCCAGCCUCCAGCUCGCCCGCCGCUGUUGGGGAAGAGCCGGCCGGGAGGUGGGAGUGGGGCGCUUCCGCUUUGGUUCUGCAGAGCGUAGCGCCCCUCUCCGCCACAAGGCGUGGAGAUCAGUGGGAAGGGCUGAGUAAUGCCCGCACUGCAUCAGGGCAGCAGCGGCGCUUGUCCAUUUGGGGAAUUCUGGGCACGGUUUCUCGUCGCCCUCUUCCCUAAUUGGCUAUGGU
rnacentral:lncRNA from 1 species